CGCUGGCGGCGCGCCUAACACAUGCAAGUCGAACGGAGCUGAGAGAAGCUUGCUUUUCUUAGCUUAGUGGCGAACGGGUGAGUAACGCGUGAGUAACCUGCCCUGGAGUGGGGGACAACAGUUGGAAACGACUGCUAAUACCGCAUAAGCCCACGAUCCGGCAUCGGAUUGAGGGAAAAGGAUUUAUUCGCUUCAGGAUGGACUCGCGUCCAAUUAGCUAGUUGGUGAGGUAACGGCCCACCAAGGCGACGAUUGGUAGCCGGACUGAGAGGUUGAACGGCCACAUUGGGACUGAGACACGGCCCAGACUCCUACGGGAGGCAGCAGUGGGGGAUAUUGCACAAUGGGGGAAACCCUGAUGCAGCGACGCCGCGUGGAGGAAGAAGGUUUUCGGAUUGUAAACUCCUGUCGUUAGGGACGAUAAUGACGGUACCUAACAAGAAAGCACCGGCUAACUACGUG
rnacentral:rRNA from 1 species